rnacentral:rRNA from 1 species
AGCGAACGCUGGCGGCAGGCUUAACACAUGCAAGUCGAGCGGGCACUUUCGGGUGUCAGCGGCAGACGGGUGAGUAACACGUGGGAACGUACCCUUUGGUUCGGAACAACUCCGGGAAACUGGAGCUAAUACCGGAUAACGCCCGUUGGGGGAAGGAUUUAUUGCCAAAGGAUCGGCCCGCGUCUGAUUAGCUAGUUGGUGAGGUAACGGCUCACCAAGGCGACGAUCAGUAGCUGGUCUGAGAGGAUGAUCAGCCACACUGGGACUGAGACACGGCCAGACUCCUACGGGAGGCAGCAGGUGGGGAAUAUUGGACAAUGGGCGAAAGCCUGAUCCAGCCAUGCCGCGUGAGUGAUGAA